UACGUAGGGUGCGAGCGUUGUCCGGAAUUAUUGGGCGUAAAGGGUGCGUAGGUGGCGCCGUAAGUGGGGUGUGAAAUUUCGGAGCUUAACUCCGAAACUGCAUUCCAUACUGCGGUGCUUGAGGACUGGAGAGGAGACUGGAAUUUACGGUGUAGCAGUGAAAUGCGUAGAGAUCGUAAGGAAGACCAGUGGCGAAGGCGGGUCUCUGGACAGUUCCUGACACUGAGGCACGAAGGCCAGGGGAGCAAACGGG
rnacentral:rRNA from 1 species